UACGAAGGGGGCUAGCGUUGCUCGGAAUCACUGGGCGUAAAGGGUGCGUAGGCGGGUCUUUAAGUCAGGGGUGAAAUCCUGGAGCUCAACUCCAGAACUGCCUUUGAUACUGAAGAUCUUGAGUUCGGGAGAGGUGAGUGGAACUGCGAGUGUAGAGGUGAAAUUCGUAGAUAUUCGCAAGAACAUCAGUGGCGAAAGCGGCUUCCUGGACCAGCACCGACGUUCAGGCACGAAAGCGUGGGGGAGCAAACAGG
rnacentral:rRNA from 1 species